ACCCUGACCAAAACAGACCGCGCACGCGUCAUCCAUCCGGCCGACGAUGGCUUUGUCCGUCGCUCGGCCAAGUCCUUGUCAACCUCCUCUCCUCGGAGUGGGGGCUCAAGGUAAAAGAACCCACGGCGCCUAAGGCGUCAAGGAACACUGUGCCUAACUCGGGGACGCGGUUGGCUUGCUGGCCGCCCCCGUGUUGCAAUGCUAUUUAAUCCACACGACUCUCGGCAACGGAUAUCUCGGCUCUCGCAUCGAUGAAGAACGUAGCGAAAUGCGAUACCUGGUGUGAAUUGCAGAAUCCCGCGAACCAUCGAGUCUUUGAACGCAAGUUGCGCCCGAGGCCACUCGGCCGAGGGCACGCCUGCCUGGGCGUCACGCAAAACACGCUCCCGCCUCCUUAUCUGGGAGUGGGACGCGGCAUGUGGUCCCCCGUCACGUAAGUGGCGGUGGGCCGAAGAUUUGGCUGCCGGUGUAUCGUACCGGACACAGCGCGUGGUGGGCGACCUCGCUUUACUUACCGCAGUGUAUCCGGUGCGUAGCCGAUAUCAUGGCUGGUUAAGGACCCUUUGAACGGAGUGCAUGAUGCUUCGACC
rnacentral:rRNA from 1 species